AUGCUCAAACUCACUGAAUAUUAUAGUCAAAGAGCCAAAAAACAUUGGGCUACUAAAGGGGACAGAAAUACCAGCUACUUUCAUCAUGCUGCCCUUAAGCGUAGAAGAAGGAAUCAAAUAGUUUCUAUCAGGGACAAUAACAAUAUCACUCAUUUCAACCUUGAUAAAAUUGCCCAAACGUUUGUGAACUAUUUUAAGGAUAUUUUCACUUCUAGUAAUACUAAUAAUUUUCCUAUAUCUGAUCAUGAUUACACCGAUAGCACACCAGAUAAACAGGAAAUUUGGCAAACUUUAAAGGACAUGAGAAGGAAUGCUUAUCCAGGGCCUGAUGGUUUAAAUGUGGCCUUCUUCCUGGCUGCCUAGGAUUGGAUUGGAGAUGAUGUAACUUCACUGGUAAGGACUUUCUAUGUAACAGGUAUCAUGCCACCUCACUUGAACAAUACCCUAAUUGCUUUGAUACCUAAAAAGAUAGUGUCUAUUACUCCUGCUGAUUUCAGGCCU
rnacentral:rRNA from 1 species